rnacentral:lncRNA from 1 species
CUCUUGGAAACUUUUUGCCAGGAAGCCAGAAGAGCCCUAAUUAGGCAGGCAAAUAGAGCCUGAUCCAAAGCCUGCUGAAGCUAAUUGGAGUCUCUCAGACAAAUAUUUCUGUCACUCCCUGAGCAAAUCCCUCAUCCUCAGAGUUGGACGGUUGCCUCUCUCUUGCUUUUGCUCAGCUGAACAGUAUCUUCCUCUCCUUUUGGAGUGUGCAAAAGCAGACGACGCUAGCUUACCUUUGCUUUCCUCAAAGGCCAUAUGUGAGACCAACAGCAAGGGCUUCUGCCAGUCCUCUUCGGAAAUGCUAAUGGAGAACAAAAAUGCAAGAGAGUAACCGAAGAGGGGGCUUUCCAAAGGCUCAGAGCAGAUGCAUAUUGGAAAGAGAAGAGUCUUAUUCCAAGCCUCCUCUUGCAUUAACCAGGAUUUGGGCCAAGUAUCAGGCAUGCUCUCAAGAGCCUAUUCCAAAGGGUCAGUAAUGCAGAUCAACAGGGGCUUCACACCAUGAACAGAAGGAAGAUGUGGCCCUAACUGAAGAUUUCCCAAAGAGGAGCUUUAAAUGAUACAAUAAACGUUGGCCAAAGCCCA